AAAGAUAUGAUGCAUAUACUUUAACUUUAAUAAUUCACUUUAAUAAUUAAUAAUACAAUUGAGUGUGAUGUAUUUUAAAGCACGGUACGACACAUAGACCCACAUCACAAUUUUUACACUCAUAGCGCGAUAGUGUUUUUCAAAUUGCUCUUCGGUUUCUAUUUGGUAGUGAUAUUUUGAGGUUGAAGAUUCCUCUGGAAUAUUUAGAAUAGUGCCGAGCUUUAGAAAGAUGCGACAAGUUUCUGAAACUAUUCCAUUCAGUCAUUCGUCUCGUUUCGAAAUAACGAAUGAUAGUCGAACUAAUCGAAAUAGUUUAACGACUAUUUCUGGUGGCAGCAACUACAGCUUUGAUUUAAAUAUAAUUCGAGAAAUCUAAGAUUCGAUAUCUGAAGUAACACAUGACGGUUACUGAAGAUCAAGACCAGAUCGUAACAACCAUACAAUAUGAAAAUCGGUACAGUAUCGUCAUUUAUCAAUGAUACCUUAUAUCAUUAAUAUUCAUUUGAUAUUUGUCUCAUCAUCAGUAUCAAACGAAUAUCAAAACGUGUUAAGGAAUCAAACCACGGUAGUGUCACAACCGGUACACUUCAAAACCGAUGGCUGAAUACGAAUGGCUGAAAACGGAUAUAAAGAUGUGGCGGCACUCAUCAACAAUGUAUAUCGCCAAAGCGAAGUACCUAAUGAGCCAUCAAUAUCACAAUGGUCCUUCCGCCGAAUGUUCGACAGCAGUCCCGUGGAGAAUGGAUACAUACGCGUAGAUAGUGGGGAUAUUGAGGGGCGGCAAAGGAAAAAUAAUCGAAUCCGACCGAAAGUCGAGUUGUAAGAGCUUCAGUUUUGGAAAGUCACAGCUGGAGCUCGGAACUAAAUUAUCAUUGUUGUAAUCAAGGUGUUAGUGAAUAAAUUCUCUUUUUUUUUAUUUUCAUCUUCGAUCUUUUUUAUUUUACGUGACAGUCGCGUCGCUAUUUAUCGUUACCAACGGAACGAUCCAUCCUUUGAAUUUUUUGUUCGAAGCGUCGACCGAUCCGUGUGUUUAUAAACGCGAUCGUCAUUUUCGUUCCUUUUUUUGCGUCGUACACUGUCUUCGCGCAAGCAACACCUGACUCGGUUAUCAUAGCUCCGGUGAGUGUCGCAGCGAUUAUCGGGUUCAGAGUGUUCGUAAAGAUAAUAAAUUGUUAAUAAUGGGAUUACUUUUUGUUAUUCCAAUCACUAAAUAUGGCAAUUGCGCGAGAGAUGUAACAGUCUUCUAAGAUGUGAUUUGACAACUAUGCUUUUAGGCAAUAUUUCUACCAUAUCGUAUAUACCAUAUUUCUACUUCUAUUGACUUUACCAAUUUUGGUCUGAUAAUAAUUGGGUGGAAAAUAAUUCCUAAAUUUACCACUGUAAAUCGCAGAGCAAAAGCUUUCUCUUUUAUACGAUCGGUAUUUCAGAAAGUACGACAAAAAUUUCUAUAAGAAAUUCUCACCUCGUAAGUUGUAAGAUUUACAAUGCGGACCUCGUCGAGAGGCUAAGUGGCACCCUAAGUGCUCGAUGGAUCCGCUCUAAAGUAAACCUCUUGUUCAAAACAUCAACACCCGAUGAGAACGCGACAUUAGAAAAGGACGUUACUCUACACACUCUCGACCAUGUACGCGCAAGACGGGCCACAUGAGAUACGCCCACGAUGGUUCGACAAUUACAAGAUUAGAUGAAAAUAGAUUCCCACCUCGCAGGAGAUAGACAAAGGACACCCCCCUGGACGGAGAGCUAGGAUGUAAGCACAAAUCGGUUAUCAAGCACGAGCCAUCAGGAAAAUAUCUAAGUUAAACUCCGUUACGUACAGUAUAUACUCUUCUGUGUAUUACAAAACGAUCCAAAUAAAUCAACUAAAUACAGGAUUACUCUGCGUCUUUAAUCUACCUCCACUUUGGGCGAUAAUAUCGUACAAGGUCCUUGACCGCAAUCGGACAGUUGCACCUGAUUGAUCGCUGCCUAGUUGAUAGGUCGCAACAUUGAUGGUAUUAUCGGAUUCGUUCCAUUAUAUA